AAGUGAAUUUCUAUUAUAAUAGAAGUUUGUCAAGUACAUCUCAGUUGAGCAGAAAAUCUUCAGGCGAACAUCGACAUCAAAGUGAUACCAUACGGAUACCAAAAAAAAUCCUAUGGAACCAAGAAGCAGAUAAUGACCACAGAGGUGCAACAGAGACUACCAGUACCUGAUCAUCCUAUGUUAUGGUGUAGAUCUCAGGAACAGGACACCUAAGUUGAACUCUGUCAAGGUUCUCCCAUGCAGAAGGAUUGAUACCCAGGCUUCUUUCUAUCCACCCUCAUCUUGAGAACUCUUGAGAUCUCUACAUCAUCUCAGAUAUCCACGCUACACCACAAUGGGGACUACAAGAGAACCGGCGGUGUGACUGAGAUGAUCAGCACAUUUUUUUUUUAUCUACAAGGCACUCUGCAGGUAGACUGGGAAUUAUGCACAAGGUAGUCAAUGGUCUCUCUGCCUUUCCCUUGAAAGCCCUAUUUUCCUUCACAUAUCACAAACACGGGAGAACCAUGACCUCCAGUUGCACCAAGCCAGAAGCGACAUAGAUCAGUUUGUAUUUGCCCAACUCUCCGUCCCAUAGUUUAAUAAUGGAACUGACUUCCAGCAAAUGUAGUGUGUACCGACAGUCCUGCCAGGUCGAACUGCAAGGGACUACUCCUGAGGCAUCUAAUGCCCUUAUCACAUUAAAAAAA